rnacentral:rRNA from 1 species
AGCAGCCGCGGUAAUUCCAGCUCCAAUAGCGUAUAUUAAAGUUGUUGCAGUUAAAAAAGCUCGUAGUUGAAUUUCGGGAUCAAUAUGUCUGUCGUGCCUUCGGUACGUACGGGUAUAAUUGGUUUCUACCUUCUGAUGAACCUUGAUGCCAUUAAUUUGGUGUCUUGGGGACUCAGGACUGUUACCUUGAAAAAAUUAGAGUGUUUAAAGCAGGCAUACGCUUGAAUACAUUAGCAUGGAAUAAUGAAAUAGGACGUUCGAUUCUAUUUUGUUGGUUUCUAGGAUCGACGUAAUGAUUAAUAGGGAUAGUUGGGGGCAUUAGUAUUCAAUUGUCAGAGGUGAAAUUCUUGGAUUUAUUGAAGACUAACUACUGCGAAAGCAUUUGCCAAGGAUGUUUUCAUUAAUCAAGAACGAAAGUUAGGGGAUCGAAGACGAUCAGAUACCGUCGUAGUCUUAACCAUAAACUAUGCCGACUAGGGAUCGGAUGAUGUAAUUUUUAAUGACUCAUUCGGCGCCUUAA